rnacentral:rRNA from 1 species
UACGAAGGGGGCUAGCGUUGUUCGGAAUUACUGGGCGUAAAGCGCGCGCAGGCGGCUAUCCAAGUCAGUGGUGAAAGCCCGGAGCUCAACUCCGGAACUGCCAUUGAAACUGUUUAGCUUGAGGAUGAGAGAGGUGAGUGGAAUUCCCAGUGUAGAGGUGAAAUUCGUAGAUAUUGGGAAGAACACCGGUGGCGAAGGCGGCUCACUGGCUCAUUACUGACGCUGAUGCACGAAAGCUAGGGGAGCAAACAGG